GGGGAAUAUUGGACAAUGGGCGAAAGCCUGAUCCAGCCAUGCCGCGUGUGUGAAGAAGGUCUUCGGAUUGUAAAGCACUUUAAGUUGGGAGGAAGGGUUUCUGGCUAAUAUCCAGGAAUUUUGACGUUACCGACAGAAUAAGCACCGGCUAACUACGUGCCAGCAGCCGCGGUGAUACGUAGGGUGCGAGCGUUGUCCGGAAUUAUUGGGCGUAAAGAGCUUGUAGGCGGUCUGUUGCGUCGGAAGUGAAAACUCAGGGCUUAACUCUGAGCCUGCUUUCGAUACGGGCAGACUUGAGGAAUGUAGGGGAGAAUGGAAUUCCUGGUGGAGCGGUGGAAUGCGCAGAUAUCAGGAGGAACACCAGUGGCGAAGGCGGUUCUCUGGACAUUUCCUGACGCUGAGAAGCGAAAGCGUGGGGAGCAAACA
rnacentral:rRNA from 1 species